AUUAAACGCUGGCGGCAUGCCUUACACAUGCAAGUCGAACGGCAGCACGGGGGCAACCCUGGUGGCGAGUGGCGGACGGGUGAGUAAAGCAUCGGAACGUAUCCUGGAGUGGGGGAUAACGUAGCGAAAGUUACGCUAAUACCGCAUAUUCUGUGAGCAGGAAAGCAGGGGAUCGCAAGACCUUGCGCUCUGGGAGCGGCCGAUGUCGGAUUAGCUAGUUGGUGGGGUAAAGGCCUACCAAGGCGACGAUCCGUAGCGGGUCUGAGAGGAUGAUCCGCCACACUGGGACUGAGACACGGCCCAGACUCCUACGGGAGGCAGCAGUGGGGAAUUCUGGACAAUGGGCGGAAGCCUGAUCCAGCCAUGCCGCGUGAGUGAAGAAGGCCUCGGUUGUAAGAC
rnacentral:rRNA from 1 species